GGGCCCGCACAAGCGGUGGAGUAUGUGGUUUAAUUCGAUGCAACGCGAAGAACCUUACCAGGGUUUGACAUCCUGCGAAUCUCUUGGAAACGAGAGAGUGCCUUCGGGAGCGCAGUGACAGGUGGUGCAUGGCUGUCGUCAGCUCGUGUCGUGAGAUGUUGGGUUAAGUCCCGCAACGAGCGCAACCCACGUCUUUAGUUGCCAGCAUUCAGUUGGGCACUCUAGAGAGACUGCCGGUGAUAAACCGGAGGAAGGUGUGGAUGACGUCAAGUCAUCAUGCCCCUUACAUCCUGGGCUACUCACGUGCUACAAUGGCCAGGACAAUGGGAUGCCACCCUGCGAAGGCGAGCUAACCCCAAAAACCUGGUCUCAGUUCGGAUUGUAGGCUGCAACUCGCCUACAUGAAGCCGGAAUCGCUAGUAAUCGC
rnacentral:rRNA from 1 species